GUUUAUGACCAUAUCACAGUGAAAGCACCAGUUCUUUUCCAAUCACUGAUGUUAAGCAAUGUUGAGCUUAGUACUUAAAUGGGAGUGUGGUUGGGAAACCUAGGUGCUGUAAACA
rnacentral:rRNA from 1 species